rnacentral:rRNA from 1 species
UAGGGAAUCUUCCGCAAUGGGCGAAAGCCUGACGGAGCAACGCCGCGUGAGUGAUGAAGGUCUUCGGAUCGUAAAACUCUGUUAUUAGGGAAGAACAAAUGUGUAAGUAACUAUGCACGUGUUGACGGUACCUAAUCAGAAAGCUAAGGCUAACUACGUGCCAGCAGCCGCGGUAAUACGUAGGGGGCAAGCGUUAUCCGGAAUUAUUGGGCGUAAAGCGCGCGUAGGCGGUUUUUUAAGUCUGAUGUGAAAGCCCACGGCUCAACCGUGGAGGGUCAGUGGAAACUGGAAAACUUGAGUGCAGAAUAGGAAACUGGAAUUCCAUGUGUAGCGGUGACAUGCGCAGAGAUAUGGAGGAACACCAGUGGCGAAGGCGACUUUCUUGUCUGUAACUGACGCUGAUGUGAGAAAGCGAGGGGAUCAAACUGG